CUUUGCCCUCCACCUCAUCAAUUUGGGGGCAUUUUGUGUCUAAAAUUUACUUUUUGCAACCAAUAUGUACUAUUAGUUUGAAAUCAAUUAUACUUACUAUCAUUUGUGUACAAUUUUUAAAAACAUGUUGUCUUAUUAGUUCAUGUAGAACAAUAUGUUAACCGAAGAAGUACAUUUUUUGAAACUCCAAAUACUGUUUGCGUGUACAGUACCUCACUGCCCCCAAGACCUCACUUUUCUGUUGUAGAAACUCAGCAAAUACAAACACACAACCUCCAUUCUCUCUCAUCAGAACCACAUAUCUCUCUUCUCAUUUCUCAUUCUUCAACUCAACCCUUAGCUUUGUUCUUCUUCUUCUACUACUUUUGAUUCUCAAACACCUUAAGCAUUUUUGGUUUCUAUCAUAAUUCCAAAAUCCUCCCUAUUUUAUGAAGUGCAACUCUGUGUUUCAUUCUUGAUUUUUUUAUAGAUUGGACUCUACGUGUUUGAUUUUAACAAUCAUACUUUUGUUUUUUAGGUUAUUCAAGUGUCAUUUGUUGCUUUCUAGAUGGGUUCUUCGUCAACAGAAGAUAUGAAGGUUUCUAGGAAUCUUGAUGGAGAUAAAUUUAUGGGUUUCAAUCUUUCGUUGAAAAAUGUGAAAAAAGGUUCAAUCAUUUGGUCCUGUUUUGAACUCAAAUUUAUAAGUGAAUAAGCACUAGAGUUCGUAGACUUUGGUCCUGAUAUGCAGAUUUCUAAUGUACACUGCUAGAUUUGUUUUUCUAUAGAAACUUUUCUAAUUUGUGUUGAAUGGUUACUCCUUAACUUUUUCAGGUUCAAUAUUGUUGGUUAUGUAUUCUUAUGAUGAUAAAUAUUAUAGACUAUUAGCAUCCUCCCGUUUUCACUGCAAGGUCAAACUCCUAUGGGAUGUAGGUUUCUGAUAACUCAAUUUGGUGGAGACAUGAACUAAGGGCUUUGGAUUCAUGAUGGUUUGAUUUUGUUACUAGCUUAUGGUUCAAUACUUUCUGUAUCCUCACCUCAGUGGCAGGAUAAGGCUUCUGGUUUCUUUUCUUCCUCAGAAAAGUUGGGCAAGUGAAAGUUAUCAACCCGUUAUUAAUGAGGCUUCAGUAUCCUGGUCAUCUUUCACUGCAAACAACAUAAGUAUUACCACCAGCAGUUACGGUAGUGGCAGUGGAAGCUGUUUUGCGAUCAAUAAUAGAGUGGAUGCAUACGUUUUUUUUAAUUAAAGCAUUAUUAGAAUUGAAGAAGACCUUAGAAAUGCUCAUGACAAGUUAAAACUAAACUUAGCUAAUGUUAUUCUGCUUUUUCAUCUUAUAUUCAUCUUUCUGUAGUGAACAUUGACACUAGCUUCAUCUUACUGCUAUUCUGAAGAAAGUGUAGUUGCAUUGAACAGUGUUGUAGCUGUAUAAAUUUAUGACUUGAGGAGUGUUUUGUAAGCAAUUUGUGAGUUGUAUAAAAGUUAGGUGAAAGAGUUACUUUGAUGUCUUUUAUGAGCAAUUUGUGCCAAGAGUUAUUUUA